rnacentral:rRNA from 1 species
CACGUAGGGGGCGAGCGUUGUCCGGAUUUAUUGGACGUAAAGAGCUCGUAGGCGGCUCAGUAAGUCGGGUGUGAAAACUCCAGGCUCAACCUGGAGACGCCACCCGAUACUGCUGUGGCUAGAGUCCGGUAGGGGAGCAUGGAAUUCCUGGUGUAGCGGUGAAAUGCGCAGAUAUCAGGAGGAACACCAGUGGCGAAGGCGGUGCUCUGGGCCGGAACUGACGCUGAGGAGCGAAAGCGUGGGGAGCAAACAGG